UUUGGAUUGUAUUCUCGUUUGCUGUUUCUUCUAACACGGAAAGAGCCAUUUGAGUUUGUCCUCGUGUUACUGAUUUGGCUUUCUCUAAGUGGUCCUCACAUUUCCUCACAUGUUUCUGAACGAAUUAUAAGAACACGAUAAACCGUAUUUACAGUCUUCUCUCUUUAAAACUAUGAAAAUUGUCUUCUGCCAUUUAAGAUCCAGUUUCUGGAUUAAUUGCAUGAACUCAAAGGAGUAGCAAGUUGGUGAAACCUAGAGAAUCGGCUUCUGAAAGCUUCAUUUCUAAAGCAUCAAGAAUAUUAUUCUCAUUGGAAAAUUGCUGCUGAUACCCAUCAAGUGCCUGCUUUCUUCUCCAACCAGAGCAUAAAGAGUCCAUGUUUUUACCCUCUGAGCGUGCCUGUCAUGAGAUGUUCUUCACAAAUCCUUAGAGACCAUAUUCUUCAGCUCCUGACCCAAUCUUGGUAAAUAUAUUCUAAAGUGCUUUAUUGAUGUCUAUUAUUCUUUAUACUUUUACUUAGUUGG
rnacentral:lncRNA from 1 species